UUUCCAUUCGACUUUGUAAACUAAUCUGUCCCACCUCUCUUCUUCACUUGUUAACACCGCAAAGGGUGGAGAACAUCCAAAAACGUUACAAUUUGGAUGUAACAUCAUAUUUUCUUUUAAAAAACAUAUAUUGUGUCAUCGAUCUAAUAAACAUCGAUCCUUACAAAUCUUUAGAUUUCCACAUCAUCACACCUAGACCCGCCAUUGUAUAUGUACACUAGAUUAGAUACUUGUGUAUUACACGAGUUAAAUACAGGAAAUUUUCGAGAGGUAGUGAGGUUUGUGAGAUUAAAUUAUGGUUCGUCAAGCUUUUCAGCCAAGUCGAUAGCCGUUUGUUGGAGUGAUUCGCAAAUCCCAAAAUAUCUGAUGGCUUGUUACGACCAAGAAGGAAACCACGUUUGGUUCAAUCUAAUCUAAAUCUAAUCUAAAUCUAAAUCUAUUAAUAAGAGAAGUGAAUGAAUAGUACUUUUUUACUUUGUGGUUUCUUCUAAUUGCCAUAUAUGGUCGGUCAUCCUCUCUGUUGUUUUCUGAUUCACCUAUUUAGGUGGUCAUCCUCCCCUUGAGACAUGUGGCUUCUGCCUUUUGCCCCUUGAAAACCCUUAAGAGGAGAGAGAACGAGAAAAUAGAGGGGAAGGGAAGAGGAGAGGGAGGGAAAGGGUCACCGCCGCUGUUGUCGCCAUGUUGCAGUGGUGUUUUGUUGUUUGGGGUUUUUUUGCCUAAGUAGAGAGAGAACGUGAAGAGAGAGAAAGAAGGGGAGAGAGAAGAGAGAGGAGCGGUGACCAAAGGGUCACUACCACGGCCACCACAGUUUUUGUUCGUGAUUGGUUCCGAUUGAACUAUUUGGGCAAUAAUCCUCUCUUGAAACAUGUUUUCCUCCUUUAUACCUUAGCCCUCUUAAAGAAAAUGUCAGGGCGGUGACCGGAGGGUCACCACCGGUGGAUUAAGUCCGUCUUGGCGACGACGAAUUUUAAACCCUGCGAUGAUGUUGGCUUGCUACCUGGUAUGGCAACUCCGGUUGCAACCGUCGCGCCACUGACCACCGGUGGAUUAAGUCUGUCUUGGCGACGACGAUUUUUAAACCCUGCGAUGAUGUUGGCUUGCUACCUGGUAUGGCAACUCCGGUUGCAACCGUCGCGCCACUGAGAUGGUUCAACGACGAUGAUGAUCUUCUCAGAUCUGAGUCGAUUUGUGUUGGUAUUUUCGUUUUAUCUUUCUGAGAGAGAUUAGAUUAUUGUGUUAGUAGUGUUGGUCAUGUUGUUGUUGGUCGUGAUAUUGGUGGUUACAGACUGUGUAUAUGUCUAUUUGAUGGGGAUUUGAAACAUUGUUCGAUGAUGAUGGUUGCUUGCUACUUGGCGUGGCAACUCUGUUUGCGCUCGUACCAGCGCUGAGCCGUAUUUGGCGAUGAUGAAGUGCCAUUCUGAGCCUUUUCGCUUUGUCAUGAGUCGAAUGGUUUUGUAGUUUCCGUUUUCUACAAGUUUUUUUCGCUUUUUUACCCAUCAAUAAGUUAUUUAUUUAGAAGGUUGAAAUACAUACGUACAGGUUAUAUGUUUUGUUCAUCUUAUUCUUAUGUAUAUUUGUUUUUUAUGACAUCACACUUACAUUUGGUUAUUUAUUAAUAUAUUAAAUAGAUUAUUCUAUUUUCUUGAGAUUUGUUACGGGAAAACAUGAAUAGUUCAAUGGCUAAUGAUUUAUUUGGCAUUUAUGGGCAACAGGUAUGUCAUGAAAUGCAAAUGAAUGACAAAUUUAGUGAUUUCUCCUGGAUCAGGGAAAACAUGUAUUAAACCGGAGCACUCGGAUCCAUGAUGACUCUCGCAUCAGGAUUAUGCAGAGAUAUAAAGCCAGUAACAUACUUCUUGAUGACAAUAUUUCAACCAAGAAUUGGAGAUUUUGGGCUGGCCAGAUUUUUUCUUAAGGAUUAAGCUUAUGCAUGAAAGUUGUAUGAAAGAUCAAGAAUGGUUGACCUAAUAGAUACAAGAUUGAAGAGUGAUGGUUUUGUUGAAAGGGAUGUUAUGCAAACGAUUCGGGUAGCUCUAUUGUGUAUUCGGCUGUUCAGCCUCUUGCUAACUUGAGCCCACCAAUGCUAGAGAUUGUAUCAAUGUUAUAACAUGGAAGGUGGAAAUGGUCAAAACGACUCAGAAAGGAUCUUGAGAACCCAUCUCUGAUUAUUUCCCUUCUCCACUCGAAACAGAAUCACCCAACUUGACUCAGCCUCCAAACUCUUGCAGCAAGGAAAGAAGAAUGAAAGAAUGGUAGAUAAAAAACACUAUUUGAUUGCAAGGUACUGACCCGUGUGUUAAUACAAGCAGGUAUCGUUCCACUUUAUCCCACGCAUUGAUUUGCUUUUUGUAGACAAACAGUUCAAGUAAAUAGUAUGUGUAUGUGAAGAAAGAUUUAAUUUACAAAAUGUUUCUUCCUUUAAAUUCCAUAUUUGUGUAGAUAAAUUCAUGUUUUGGUUGAUUACCUUGAGAUGAUCCACACAACAUGUGGUUUGUUUGAUUGAUUAUCAUGACAUGACCAAGUUCUGAUGGUCA